rnacentral:lncRNA from 1 species
AGGAGGGGCAAAGCAGUAAGGAUGAAAUCUUAAUAGCCUAGUGUUGCAGUACCCAGAGCCAAACCCAAAUAUAGAAUAUCACCUCCCCUAAACCCUGAGUGGAAAAGCUCAAAGGAAGAGAAGACACACCUCUACACAACGUUCAUGAGAAGAAGGGAAGGAUGAGUUUUCUUGGACAGCAUUUUCUUGGAAGUAAAGUGUCUGGGUUUCAAGAAAAAGGUUCUGACUCCAAGGACUCUCCAGGAAGCACAUGGAGAAGGUUGCUAAGAAGUAGCAUAGAGCCACAGUAGAAAGUUCUACCGUGGCUUUGCUGGGCACACUUAGGCAAGCUUCCUGCUCCAAUUCCUCCCACCCACCUUGGCACUGACCUGGCCUCCUGCACAAUUUGCUCCCCCAACUCAGAACACAAUGAUCAAUACUGGGAGCAAUUCUGUCCUAAGAGGAGAGUUUGGCAAUGCCCGGCCCCUUCUGCUCAGGUAACUGAAGCCAAAGGGACAUUUCCACAUCAGUUUUCCAAGUUAGUGAACAAACAAACCAAAAUCAAAAAAAAAAAAAAAAAAGAUAUAAAAGAGACAGUACUAUGUACUAGAUUUCUCAAUGUUUCAAAUGCAGUACACUCACUUCUGCCCUCAUACACAUUUCCAGUUACUGGCUGGAAAGGAUCCCACUUCACAGUCAUCCCAGUCAAUAGGCCACUCUGAUCCUGCUCCUAGAUGACCGCAACUGCCACCUCACUGGUCUCCCAACCAUUUGUCACAGAGCACCCAAAGUUACUCAGCUAGACCAAAUAUCUGAACAUGCCUCUCCCCGACUUAAAACCUUUUGCCAGCUCCUCAGCACCUGAACAUAGAGUCCAGUGCUCACCAAGGUCUACCUGGCCUCCCUUCUGUGACUCCAGCCUACUCUCUUGCCACUCCCCACCUGCUAAGCAAUGCCCUGGAGAUGUGUAUACAGGCUCAGAAUAUGCUGCACGCUCUCCUACCACUGGGACUUCACUGUACCAGACAACAGCCUAACCCCAACUAAGGUAAACUCUGCCACCAAACAUGCCUGGGAAUGGAGAAGGGUCUGCAGAUGAGAACCCCUUCUGGUUCUAUGAUUCAAAUCUUCAUUCACUCAAAGCAGGUAAAUAGGAAAUUUCAACAGCUUCCUCUCCUCCCUCUCAUUCCUUUCUUCUGUCAUCGAUCUGAUCAGGAAUGCUCUGAGGCAUUCCCUGGUUAUUUUUUCUUUACCUCUCAAAAUCCACAUGGUAUGUUACACUAAUGCCCAGCAUGUUCCUCAGAUCUCUAGAUGGCUCUAAUUAAAGGACCACCCCUUCUUCUGAAUACAGACCUGGGGUUAGAGGACAUAAGAGCUUGAAGGGCUCUUUAAAAGUCAAGUAGUAUCAUUUUACAGACCAACAACCUAAAAAACAGAAAAGUAAAAUGACUUGUCCAAGGUCACAUGGCUUAAUGGAUUUGUGGGCAUUCAUGAACACCCUGUAAUUACACAUAAAAUUUGGAUUAUAUGAGCCCAUGUGUAUUUUUUCUGAAGAGAAAAUCCGUAUCUUUCUUCAAAGAAGUCAACAAUCUCUUCCCCAAAAUAUAGUAACCACUGACAAUUAUAUGCAUAUUUGAAAAAAAGUUUAACUAAAAUUUAAUGUUCCAAGUCUGAAUAGUAAUAUGAAUUGGUGAUCUAGAAUAAGAGUGGAACCUAAUUUAAUAACUGUCAUUGUUAUCAUCUUUUUUUCUUUUCAUGUCUGGGAUAUCAAUGCAAGUAACAUGGGAUAAAGACAAUUUGAUGUGGAAGUAAACUAUAAAGCAAGAUUUUUGUUUUGUUUUGUUUU